rnacentral:ncRNA from 1 species
UAGAGCAAAAGCCAAACCUAUCGUGAGGUGGGGACGGAAAGUUACAGGUCUCUCUAAGCAGGACUAGAGAUGGCUGGGCUACCUCG